CCCUCUUUUCAUUGGCUGCUGAAAGUUCCUGUAUCAGAGAGGAGUCGGGUAGCUUGCUAGCUAAGCUACCUUUCCCCAACAUGGAUAUAUAAACUACAGAAUACGCUCUGAUUGAUGUUGUUCAAAAAGAAAAAAUAGUGGAAUUGACUGCAUAACAUGGCACAAAAUAACAGAGUUAGUGACUUCACCAGGCAAAGCGCAAUAUUGAAAGAAAAACGGAAUAGGAUUACCUCCAACCACAUGCGUGAUGCACUUGUGUCAUCCAGGCCCUAUCAGGAAGCUCUGCUCGAUUUAUUCUAGCUGUUAUUAUCUUAAGAACUGAGCUUUUUGUGCUUUACAUCGGCCAAAGAAAGCCCCGAGGAACUAGUGUGUCGAUGGGAGAACCAGCAGCAACGAGGUGGACAAUGACAACUUAUCUGUGAUUCACCGUGUUCUUCUGUGAGCGGGGCAGUGAGGUGGACAGCAGGCCUGUGCCAGUGAAGGAUUAAACACUGUCAUCACCCUCUCCUCCCCCCCGUUGCUCAACACUCUUCCAUCACCCACGACAGCAGGUCCCAGUCCUCCCAAACUAAGGCCAAACACAUGCCAAACUGCAGAGAGACAGACAGGCCACAGUAACAGCAGUGUACAAUAAUGGAGGUGCCAUGACAUGUUCCAUGUGUGCAUCACAUUGCCAAACGUAUCAAAGGAGCGAAGGAAGAUUACCUCCAAAUGCUUAAAUUCUUCCUGUUCUAGUGUUACUGUAAAAAAUGUAAGGAUUAAAAGAACAUUUUGACUACUUUUUAA